AUGCGAUUUACAUACGUAUUUACCAUAGACUGUAUAUAAUGGUAUUUACGCAGCUAAUCAACGUCAGGCGUCCUUAUGUGCAGCCACAUAUGAAUGAGUACAUAGGACACGCCCCUUUGAGCUGCGUGCUACAGCGAGGCUAAGCUAGUGGGGGAAAAGUUUCAGUGCAUUCCGUUGAUGUCGACGGUGUGAAAACGGAAGCAAGUAUGCCGGCUCACUGUGCUGCAUACAGUUACACACUGCGUCGUACGAUUGAGACAAGGAAACUUGGAAUGACUUUUCAUAGGUUUCCCAGAGACUAUGGGUUGAGGAGGAAUUGGAAGUUUGUCGGCUUAGACCUGGUGUCAUUCCAUCAUUGUUAAACUUCCCGGCUCAUCUUGGAAGAGUACGUGCCAGAAAGACCACAACCAAGCAGCCUUGAGAUCUUAGACAGCGUCUCCCUGAGCCACCAACCACUGGAACACAUCUCCAAAGUUCUGCUGGGCCAGCUCAGCUUCCCCUCAGAAGAAGUGGCGCCACCUGCCAGAUGAAGGAGCCUUUUGAGAGGCAGCUGGCAUCGUGAUUGGACUGUACUUUGGUCUGUUCCAAUCCAGCUUCAGCUCCAAAGACGGCAGGCGGGACGAGUCAACGGAUGCCGGGUGGACGAAGGCAUGCAGCUGAGUACAAUCCAGAAAACAACAGAGGAAGAAACAAACUUAGUGUAUACAUCAUAUACUGUAUAAAAGACACAUCCACUGUAGAAUUGUAGUAAUUGUGGGCUGACUGAUUUACUGAUUAGCAGUAUUUUAUUUUUUACUGAUUUACGGAAAUAAAUACAUUUAAAAAUGGCGCUACUUUGGCUCUGAACCUUUAUCUACCUGUGGUCGCUCUGUCUUCUGGAGUGAUUUGAUUGGUUAUAUAUCACAAAUAAAACUCCUUUAACUUAACAUCUG
ensembl:lncRNA